rnacentral:lncRNA from 1 species
ACUGGAUUAACCCAAGAAGAAAAUACUUUUACUGUAACUGGAACAAUGGAAACAGUCUGCAGACCACCGAGGCAUUCCCAUCGAAACUCUCCAAGCAGCUGAAUCAGACUAAUGAUUCUCAGAAAUACGGAUUUAUCACUGCUGCCUGCCCUCUUGAUAUCAACCUCAAUCUUUUAUAUGGAUUUGCUUCUCAGAAAACAACUGACCAUGACCAUUGAGCGCUGUUCCUCUUUCUUAAAGUCGUUUCAAUCUAAUGUGGCCUCCAGCAUAAAUUUAGGCAGUCUACUGAGCUGCCUAGCUAAUGUCUCCUUAAUACAAUUGCCUCUGAAGGUCUUUGAGAUCCAGAGUUCAAGACUUUGUUACUCCUCCUACCCAUAGCAACAGACUUCUGAUAUCUUCCUUAAGAGCUGGUGCAUAAAAGUCAACAUAAUAAGGUAUCUUCCUUCCUGAACAUUUUCUUGAUUAGGGAAAUUGCGGAGGAAAGGAGACAAAGAGACUGUUUUAAAAAAGGUAAGAUUGCUUUUACAUCCUUAUAAAACACACUACUACAUUUGCA